rnacentral:piRNA from 1 species
UGGAUGUGAGUUAGAUGGGAGAAGGAAGUU